rnacentral:rRNA from 1 species
AAAGAAAGCGUAAUAGCUCACUGGUCGAGUCGGCCUGCGCGGAAGAUGUAACGGGGCUAAACCAUGCACCGAAGCUGCGGCAGCGACACUCAGGUGUUGUUGGGUAGGGGAGCGUUCUGUAAGCCUGCGAAGGUGGCCUGUGAGGGUUGCUGGAGGUAUCAGAAGUGCGAAUGCUGACAUAAGUAACGAUAAAGCGGGUGAAAAGCCCGAGCGACACUCAGGUGU